GUCGAACGGUGAAGCCAAGCUUGCUUGGUGGAUCAGUGGCGAACGGGUGAAAAACACGUGAGCAACCUGCCCUGGACUCUGGGAUAAGCGCUGGAAACGGCGUCUAAUACUGGAUAUGAGCCUCUUCCGCAUGGUGGGGGUUGGAAAGAUUUUUCGGUCUGGGAUGGGCUCGCGGCCUAUCAGCUUGUUGGUGAGGUAAUGGCUCACCAAGGCGUCGACGGGUAGCCGGCCUGAGAGGGUGACCGGCCACACUGGGACUGAGACACGGCCCACACUCCUACGGGAGGCAGCAGUGGGGAAUAUUGCACAAUGGGCGGAAGCCUGAUGCAGCAACGCCGCGUGAGGGAUGACGGCCUUCGGGUUGUAAACCUCUUUUAGCAGGGAAGAAGCGAGAGUGACGGUACCUGCAGAAAAAGCGCCGGCUAACUACGUGCCAGCAGCCGCGGUAAUACGUAGGGCGCAAGCGUUAUCCGGAAUUAUUGGGCGUAAAGAGCUCGUAGGCGGUUUGUCGCGUCUGCUGUGAAAUCCCGAGGCUCAACCUCGGGCCUGCAGUGGGUACGGGCAGACUAUAGUGCGGUAGGGGAGAUUGGAAUUCCUGGUGUAGCGGUGGAAUGCGCAGAUAUCAGGAGGAACACCGAUGGCGAAGGCAGAUCUCUGGGCCGUAACUGACGCUGAGGAGCGAAAGGGUGGGGAGCAAACAGGCUUAGAUACCCUGGUAGUCCACCCCGUAAACGUUGGGAACUAGUUGUGGGGACCAUUCCACGGUUUCCGUGACGCAGCUAACGCA
rnacentral:rRNA from 1 species